rnacentral:lncRNA from 1 species
GGCUAAAAGAUUGGUUUCUAAGUUAGGACUCUCGUCUAUGAGAAUUGAUUGUUGUGAAGAUGGUUGCAUGUUGUAUUAUAAGGGUGAUGCAGAUUUAGUUGUAAAUUUUGUGAAAAACUUCGUUUUAAGCGGCUUUCCAGGGGGAAGAAGGCUGUUGUGAAGUCGAUGCAUUACUUACCACUUAUUCCUAGAUUAAAGAGGUUGUACGCAUCGAUGAGUUUCGCUCCUUAUAUGAGAUGGCACUAUGAAAAUAGAAGGCCACCCGGUGUUAUGUGUCAUCCUUCAGAUGGGAAAGCUUGGAAGCAUUUUGAUAGGACGUAUCCAGAUUAUGCUAGUGAACCGAGGAAUGUUCGAUUGGGUUUGUGUGCUGAUUGUUUCACGCCAUUUUCAGUUUCUGCAAUACCAUAUUCAUGUUGGUCGGUCUUUAUUACUCGGUAUAAUCUUCCGCCUGAAAUGUGUAUGACUAGUCCAUAUAUAUUUUUAAAUUGUGUUAUUCCCAGUCCUCGCAAUCCAAAGAUUUUGCUUGAUGUAUAUUUGCAACCUUUGAUUGAUGAGCUUAAACAGUUGUGGUAUGAUGGAGUUGAGACAUAUGAUGUAUCAACUAAGCAAAAUUUCAACUUGCGUGCUAACUUAAUAUGGACCAUUAAUAAUUUUCCUGCGUAUAGAAUGUUAUAUGGGUGGAUGACUGCCGGAAAGUUAGCAUGUCCUUACUGCAUGGAAAUGGUAAAGCGUUCACUUUAAGAAACGGCCAAAAGCAGUCAUGGUUUGAUUGUCAUCGUCAGUUCUUGCCGGUUGAUCAUGAGUUCAGAAGGAUGAAGAACACAUUCAAAAAGAAUACAGUUGAACAUUAUUUUCCACCUCCAAUUUAUUCCGGUGAGGAAAUUUGGGAGACGGUUCAAAACUUUACUAAAGUUACCGAACCCCACCUUCUAGAUUUCUUGGAUAUGGUGUUACUCAUAACUGGACAAAACAUAGCAUAUUUUGGGAGUUGCCAUAUUGUAAGGAUAAUCUUCUCCGACAUAAUCUUGAUGUCAUGCAUAUUGAGAAGAACUAUUUUGACAAUUUGUUCAACACGGUGAUGGAUGAUGAGAAUAAGACAAAAGAUAACCCGAAGGCUAGACUGGACUUACAAGAAUAUUGCGGGCAACUUGAAUUACAGUUGCAGUAUGUGAACAAGUGUAAGGUGUUCAAGCUCAAGGCCAGCUACACGUUCACCUUGGAACAAAGACAACAGAUUUGUGAAAAGUCAUGACUGUCAUAUAAUCAUGGAAAUUGAAUAUAUGAUUGUCAUAUAUUCAUGGAAACAUGGGAAAACAUGCCAAUAUGGUCGAGGGAAAGCUGACUCGUAUGAAAAGUCAUGACUGUCAUAUAUUCAUGGAAACCUUAAUCCCUAUUUCAUUUUAUGGAUUGCCUGAAAAUAUAUGGAAACCAAUCACAAAGAUAAAUUUGUUCUUCAAAGACUUAUAUUCUACCACAUUAAGGGAAGAAACCUAUUUCAAAUGGAUCAGAACAUUCCUAUAAUCACUAAUAAGCUGGAGAGGAUUUUCCGUGUGGUUUCUUCGAUGUGAUGGAACACCUGUAAUCACUAAUAAGCUGGAGAGGAUUUUUCCAUGUGGUUUCUUCGAUGUGAUGGAACACCUUCCAAUUAACCUUGUACACGAGGCGCGACUUGGAGGUCUGGCUCAAUGCAGGUAGAUGUAUCCAUUCGAGAUGUAAUGUUCAAACCUUGAUUUAUUCUUGUAAUUUUCUUUAACGUUAUCGUGUAACAUUGCAAUGGGCAGGACUAUCGACAAAUGUAAACGAUUUGUUAAACAGAGG